UCAAACUUGGUCAUUUAGAGGAAGUAAAAGUCGUAACAAGGUUUCCGUUGGUGAACCAGCGGAAGGAUCAUUACAGAGAUCAUGCCCUUCGGGGUAGACCUCCCACCCUGUGUUAUUUACAAUUGUUGCUUUGGCAGGCCGCCUUUGGGCGCUUGGCUUAGGCUGAGAUGCGCCUGCCAGAGGACCUAACUCUUGUGUUUUAGUGUUGUCCGAGCGUUAUUUUAAUACUUUCAAAACUUUCAACAACGGAUCUCUUGGUUCUGGCAUCGAUGAAGAACGCAGC
rnacentral:misc_RNA from 1 species